rnacentral:rRNA from 1 species
GAUGAACGCUAGCUACAGGCUUAACACAUGCAAGUCGAGGGGAAACGACAUCGAAAGCUUGCUUUUGAUGGGCGUCGACCGGCGCACGGGUGAGUAACGCGUAUCCAACCUGCCCACCACUUGGGGAUAACCUUGCGAAAGUAAGACUAAUACCCAAUGACGUCUCUAGAAGACAUCUAAAUGUGACGAAAGGUUUGGCGGACAUGGAUGGGGAUGCGUCCGAUUAGCUAGUUGGCGGGGUAACGGCCCACCAAGGCGACGAUCGGUAGGGGUUCUGAGAGGAAGGUCCCCCCACAUUGGAACUGAGACACGGUCCAAACUCCUACGGGAGGCAGCAGUGAGGAUAUUGGUCAAUGGACGUAAGUCUGAACCAGCCAAGUAGCGUGCAGGAUGACGGCCCUAUGGGUUGUAAACUGCUUUUAUGCGGGGAUAAAGUGUGGGACGUGUCCCAUAUUGCAGGUACUGCAUGAAUAAGGACCGGCUAAUUCCGUG